CCUACGGGAGGCAGCAGUGAGGAAUAUUGGUCAAUGGGCGGGAGCCUGAACCAGCCAAGCCGCGUGAGGGAAGAAGGUACAGCGUAUCGUAAACCUCUUUUGUCAGGGAACAAAGGCGGGGACUAGUCCCCGGUUGCGGGUACCUGAAGAAAAAGCAUCGGCUAACUCCGUGCCAGCAGCCGCGGUAAUACGGGGGAUGCGAGCUUUAUCCGGAUUUAUUGGGUUUAAAGGGUGCGCAGGCGGCCUGUUAAGUCAGCGGUAAAAGCCCGGGGCUCAACCCCGUCGAGCCGUUGAAACUGGCGGGCUGGAGUGGGUGAGAAGUACGCGGAAGGCGCGGUGUAGCGGUGAAAUGCAUAGAUAUCGCGCAGAACCCCGAUUGCGAAGGCAGCGUACCGGCUCCACACUGACGCUGAGGCACGAAAGCGUGGGUAUCGAACAGGAUUAGAUACCCCUGUAGUC
rnacentral:rRNA from 1 species